rnacentral:snRNA from 1 species
AUGUUUGUACAACUUAAAACAUAUCAGUUUAUUUGUCAAUUAUAGAGAUGAGCAUGGCCCCUGUGCAAGGAUGACACACAAAUUCAUGAAGCAUUCUCUAUAUUU